UUGAGUUUAGCGAGUUUGUCGUAACAACAACUUGAAUAAUCAUUUUAGUAGAUCUUAUGUGUAAGUGUAAAUGUGUUACUAAACUCGAGCAGCUAAUGUUAGCUACUAAAUCUGUCAUGGUGGCUGGCGAGCUAACGUUAAGUCAUCUCAGGCUAGAAUUCUAUCAUGUUUCCCGGGUUAGUUUUGCUCCCUACUGAAGAUAGACAGGGGUGGUGCCUUGAUGGGGUUAUUUCAUAUAAAUCACAAUUGAAUGUUCAUAGAAGUGCCAAGGUCAGGAUGACUUCAUGUAUUUAACUGCUAAGAUAAGCUAGCAGCUAACGUUAGCCCCAUACAAACCCUGCCUGGGUUUAUGUGAAUACUAAUAGUUGGAUCAGUAUCUGAAAAUUUUAAUGUUUAAACGUAGGUGCAUCCCACUCUGUUUGACCAAAUUAUCCUUCUGUGUCAUGAACAAUUAACUAGGGUUGAUGCAGACUCUAAAGUCCGUCAAGAAACAUUUGAAUCAUUUUAAUGUUUGUGUAGCAAACUCUGCCAUCUUGCCUAGUCUCUCUGUAACAUUAGCCAGGUGUAGCUGCAAUCUUUGAAGGACAGCAGUUGCAGGAACAUCAGACUUGUCAUUAUUUUUGUAUUGCUAUCAUAGGCUACUUGGCUCUCAUCCGGCUUAUAUAUCAGUUAAAAGAGCAAAGCAAAUGGCAGUUUCUUGCAUGGAAACUUGCCCAUUUUAAGCACACACAUUUGUUGUCAACCACUAUAUUCAGGAGGCCUUUAUGUGGCAGUGCAAAUGUGGAGCGCAAGACCGGAGUGUCAUCAAGGUCUCAUUUAUUGAAGUAUUACAGAAUGUCAGAACUCGACAUCAUCUGCACAAUAGCUGUUUGCUGUGUGUGCGUAGGAAGGGAGGAGAUCAUGGCUGCCAUUGACCAGAAUUAUACCAUUGGCUUGUUGAGAGCUUGCAACCUGAAAGCACUUGUGUACUUAAAUGAAGGCUCUGAGAAACUCAUAAAGGAAUACCUGGACGCGGACUGAUGCCCAGAGCCAGAUGGAGAAAACCACCAUCGGGAUCUUUCUAAUCAAACAUGAGGGUGCCAAUGCCUCCACUAGAAGAUGUAGACAUUAUAGUUGAAUCACUAACAAUGUAACAAAACUAAACAUGCUGUGUUUAGCAGAGAUAUUUUUCUGUUCAUUGCAUUUCUAUUUUACUAAAAAAUGUCCCUGAUGGAUUGAUGAGAAUGGAGACAAAGGUUGCUGCUAAAUAAAUGCAGAUUUGUUUUGAA